UACAGAGGGUGCGAGCGUUAAUCGGAAUUACUGGGCGUAAAGCGCACGUAGGUGGCGACGUAAGUCGGGUGUGAAAGCCCCGGGCUCAACCUGGGAAUUGCAUUCGAGACUGCAUUGCUGGAGUACGGAAGAGGAGGGCGGAAUUCCCGGUGUAGCGGUGAAAUGCGUAGAUAUCGGGAGGAACAUCAGUGGCGAAGGCGGCCCUCUGGUCCAGUACUGACACUGAGGUGCGAAAGCGUGGGGAGCAAACAGG
rnacentral:rRNA from 1 species